UAUGAUUCAGGCAAGGAUGCUGAGACCCAA
rnacentral:piRNA from 1 species